ACCUCAACAGGAAACCUAAAGGAGAUGAGUAUCAGGUGCUAAGAAAGGGUGCACGGCAACAUUGGGAUUCAAUGAGAUCCUGUUAUCAAAAGGCAGCAGCAGCAUAUUCAGAUGGAAAAAAGGAAUAUGCGGCCUACCUCUCUGACCAGGUUAUUUC